rnacentral:rRNA from 1 species
UACGAAGGGUGCAAGCGUUACUCGGAAUUACUGGGCGUAAAGCGUGCGUAGGUGGUGAGUUAAGUCUGAUGUGAAGUCCCCGGGCUCAACCUGGGAAUGGCAUUGGAUACUGGCUCGCUAGAGUGCGGUAGAGGGUGGUAGAAUUCCCGGUGUAGCAGUGAAAUGCGUAGAGAUCGGGAGGAACAUCUGUGGCGAAGGCGGCCACCUGGACCAACACUGACACUGAGGCACGAAAGCGUGGGGAGCAAACAGG